CCUGGGACAGAGACAGGAGACGCAGAAAUGGAGAAGGGCAUGCUGGCAGUGGGAGGACACAGGGUGACUCAGCGUCCGCUACUCCAACUGAUUCGCAGGACAAGCCCCCCAGGGCAGGGAGUGGACAGGUGGAGACGCAGAGGAGGCGCCCGGUGCUCUUCGUGGGGAGUCAACCCGAGCCCUCUGGAGGAGGGGACAGGGUGUUUCCCAGAGCCCAAAGGAGACCCAGAGCCCUGAGAUCCGGAGAGACGGAGGCAAGCACGGACCGCAAAGCCUACGGCCAAAGGAGCUAACGUUCGACUGCGGUGGAGGCGAGGGCUGCGGAGCGGGUCGAAACCUCUCCCGGCGCCCUGCGCUCCGCCCUCUGGGCGCCGCUGGGUGGCGGCACCCCUCCUCCCGAGGGCUCCCGGGCCGGCGCACCCUGGUCUCAGCACCUCCCGCCGCCGUCCCAGCGACUGCCAGUCCCCCUCGCAGCUGAGCCCAAAGGCCAGCCAGCCAGCCCCUGCCUGGGCUUCUGCGGCACUGCCGGUCCCUCUCGACCGAAGGCCACGGGCGAGAGCCCGGUGCGCGCGGCCACCAGCGCCUUCCUGGGCUCGGGAACCUGGGACAACGUGUCAGUGAGCCUCGUGGGACCUGCAGCUGGACAACUUCGGGAAGAACUUCAGCCUGGGCGUGGUGUGGUCUUGGCGUCCUCCACAGGGUACAUUGGGCCUCCCCCAAAAUGUGUGGUUCACAGGACUCCUCGGGCAGAACCCAAACCUCCAAUCCCUUGUUUUCUGAAGACCACUCAGAAAAUAAAGUCUUCCAGCUAAUCAGAGGAAGGAGGAGGGAGCCCAGCCCACCCACUAUCAUCAGGAAGUGACCAUGCUGGGAAGUUGGAGGUGGGUCUGAGAGUGGUGGCAGUGCUGGAGGCAGGGGACCAGGGUGACCCUCCCCAUACCCACCUCUGCGGAGUAUGUGUUUGAACAUUAGCAAAGAAGCCUUCUUCAGCUCCCAGUUCCUGAAUGGCCUCAACCCCAUCCUGAUCUGCCGCUGUCGCUACCUAGCAAAGAGCUUCCCCGGUCACUGGGACCAGUCUACAGGCUGAGCUGGAAGGGGUCUCCUCCACCCUGCACAGCUGUGCUGGCCUCACUCAGUAUCUCACCAUGAUCAUCUUCACCUGCUCAGCCCAACAUGCUGCCAUUAACAACGGCAAGGCCCUUGGGCACCUACCCAGAGGAGCACCUCAC